UUGACGCUGGCGGCAGGCCUAUCACAUGCAAUUCGAGCGGAAACGACAACAUUGAAUCUUCGGAUGAUUUGUUGGGCGUCGAGCGGCGGACGGGUGAGUAAUGCCUACGAAAUUGCCUUGAUGUGGGGGAUAACCAUUGGAAACGAUGGCUAAUACCGCAUAAUGCCUACGGGCCAAAGAGGGGGANCUUCGGNCCUCUCGCGUCAAGAUAUGCCUAGGUGGGAUUAGCUAGUUGGUGAGGUAAUGGCUCCCCAAGGCGACGAUCCCUAGCUGGUCUGAGAGGAUGAUCAACCACACUGGAACUGAGACACGGUCCACACUCCUACGGGAGGCAGCNGUGGGGAAUAUUCCACAAUGGGCCAAAGCCNGAUGCAGCCAUGCCGCGUGUAUGAAGAAGGCCUUCGGGUUGUAAAGUUACUUUCCGUUGUUAAGGAAAGGGUUUGUAGUNUAAUAUCUGCCCAAUCUUGACCUUUAGCACCCGAAUAAACCGCCCGGCU
rnacentral:rRNA from 1 species